rnacentral:rRNA from 1 species
AUGCACGCUGGCGGCGUGCCUCAUACCUGCAAGUCGAGCGCACAGAUGAGGAGCUUGCUCCUCUGACGUUAGCGGCGGACGGGUGAGUAACACGUGGAUAACCUACCUAUAAGACUGGGAUAACUUCGGGAAACCGGAGCUAAUACCGGAUAAUAUAUUGAACCGCAUGGUUCAAUAGUGAAAGACGGUUUUGCUGUCACUUAUAGAUGGAUCCGCGCCGCAUUAGCUAGUUGGUAAGGUAACGGCUUACCAAGGCAACGAUGCGUAGCCGACCUGAGAGGGUGAUCGGCCACACUGGAACUGAGACACGGUCCAGACUCCUACGGGAGGCAGCAGUAGGGAAUCUUCCGCAAUGGGCGAAAGCCUGACGGAGCAACGCCGCGUGAGUGAUGAAGGUCUUCGGAUCGUAAAACUCUGUUAUUAGGGAAGAACAAAUGUGUAAGUAACUAUGCACGUCCUGACGGUACCUAAUCAGAAAGCCACGGCUAACUACGUG